GUACUCGCUUUGGCAGCACAUAUCCAAAAUUGGAACGAUAUAGGGAAGAUUAGCAUGGCCCUUGCGCAAGGAUGACACACAAUUCAUAAAGUGUUCCAUAUUAAA